rnacentral:lncRNA from 1 species
UAAAAUCAUUGGAGAAAGGUGAAUCGCAUUGAAAUGCUGAGGCUCCAUGAGUGACAUGUGCAGCAAACUCUAUUUAGCAAGGACUGUAGGAGGGCAGCGAGAGAGAGAUGGAAGUUCAGGGCCUUGCAAGAUUGGAGAAGUUGGAGCUCACGGUGCCCUACAAAUGAAGACCUCUUACGCCUGGGAAGCUGAUGCCAGCCAGGGUGGGAAGGGCGAGAAGGCGGCGAGUGCUGUAUUGUGCUUCAGGGACCUAUGGCACAGCCAAGCAGCUUCCCAGCGUGGAGUCCUGCCCUCGGGACCUGUUGCUGCCCAGGCAGUGGGAAGGAAGUACGGCUCCUGUAAUUUGCAUCCAGAUAUCAGGAAGCGAUGCGUUAUGAGAACAUCUCAUCUACCGCCAGGGAUGAACCCGCAGAAAUCACUUAUACCAACAGAUUCACAGGUGUUGGCUUCUGUCACAAGAUGGUAG